rnacentral:rRNA from 1 species
UAGGGAAUCUUCGGCAAUGGACGAAAGUCUGACCGAGCAACGCCGCGUGAGUGAAGAAGGUUUUCGGAUCGUAAAACUCUGUUGUUAGAGAAGAACAAGGACGUUAGUAACUGAACGUCCCCUGACGGUAUCUAACCAGAAAGCCACGGCUAACUACGUGCCAGCAGCCGCGGUAAUACGUAGGUGGCAAGCGUUGUCCGGAUUUAUUGGGCGUAAAGCGAGCGCAGGCGGUUUCUUAAGUCUGAUGUGAGAGACCCCGGCUCAACCGGGGAGGGUAAUUGGAAACUGGGAGACUUGAGUGCAGAAGAGGAGAGCGGAAUUCCAUGUGUAGCGGUGAAAUGCGUAGAUAUAUGGAGGAACACCAGUGGCGAAGGCGGCUCUCUGGUCUGUAACUGACGCUGAGGCUCGAAAGCGUGGGGAGCAAACACG